CGAAUGAAAGCCUCUGAGAUAAAAAUACACAAGAUCGGUGAACACAGAGAGAGUCACUGAGACAAGCUUAGGGUUGACCCUAAGCUUGAACCAGAGGGAAAACUCAGACCUCCACCGAGUAGGAUGGGCAGUGGGAGGCUGGGGUGCAAUGAUCCUGAAGGAUGCUGAGGGACCCACCACUGCUCCCGUGACCUCCACCUGACGUUCCUCAGGGAAGUGACACCCCCUCCAAAAUAUGCAACGAGAGAGGCCCUGGGGAGACGCAGGCUUGGGUUUCAGAUGUGGGCGAUUCUCACACGGGCUGCAGAUUCUAGGCCUUGGUCUGCAGCCCGCUCACUCCACGCCGCUGAGACUCAGUUUUCUCAUCUGCCAAGUGAGAGUUCUGGAUUUGGAGAUGAUUAUUACAGCUAAUAUUUGCUGAACAUUUACUGUGUGCCAGGCAUCGCGCCAGACACUUUGCAUCGGUACCUCGUUCAGCCUUCACAUCCGCCCAGUGAGGUGAGGAAACUGAGGUACAUGAAGUCACUUCCCCAAGGCCACCCUAGGCUCGUCUAGCUGGGAUCUGAACCCAGGCCUGCCUGGCUCCACGUUCUUCAUCCUCACACCCUGCUACCUCCUUGUUGCACCAGAGGGGGUCCCUGUGCAACCCAGGUCUGGCUUUCCUGCUGGAAGGACUUAAAGGAUCUCUCUUGCAUGUGGAAUUUGAGGUGCAUUUAAACAUUGUCCACACUAAGCCUGGUACGGAAGAUGGCCACCGAUCUUGGGGCAAGGUCUUCUCCCUUGGUCCUGUGUCUCCACGCCCAGGCCUGGUAUGCAGCAGGUGCUCAUGAGUGUCAGGAGCUGGACAGGAACAGUCAGGAUGCCUUUUGUGUUUCUGCCAGUGUCGCGAGCACCUGCUCUGGGGCAUGCACCAGGCUGGGUUCCAGGAUCUAACAGGAAGGAGAAGCUGGUCCCAUCACUGGCCUCAGAGGUCAGUGUCUAGCAGGGUCAUUCCAUGUCCCCUCGUCCAAGCCUCCUCUGGUCAGACUUCCUCUGAGGGGACAGGGGGUUGUUAAAUAUGCAAAGGAUGUGGAUUUUGGAGUCAGACACAUCUGAGCUCCAAUUACAGCUCUGCCACUUAUUGGCUGUGCGUGUAACCUCAGACCGAUGGCCACCUCUCAGCCUCGGUACAAACGACAAUGCCUC
rnacentral:lncRNA from 10 species